rnacentral:misc_RNA from 1 species
AUUCUUCUGCUAGAGCCUCUAAUAGAGCUUUGCGAUGAACUGUUCUGGGUCCAAGAUCUUUUAAUAAGAUCUCUCGAACAGCUCCGGUGGCCAAAUUCGUUGUAGACACCCUUAAGAAAGGAGUAUAAAGGGAAUUAAGCUUAUGAGAAACACCAAGAGUAUCAAGAGCGAGCCAAGCAUUUUGAGUGAGGGUUAAGGCUGCACCAGUG